rnacentral:lncRNA from 1 species
AUUUCUAUAAUGACCUGUUUCUUUACAUUCAAAACAGAUAAUAUCUUUAUUAGGUUUACCUUUUGAAGUUGACUCUGAUCUAUCCCCUCUGGGUCUUGAUCUUCUGAAGUUGUUGUUGUUCCUUCUUUUCCAGAGUUGCUUAACUCUUCUGGUUAGUAGAGACAACUCUUCUUCAUCAUCAGAGUCUUCAGGUUCAGAGUCAUCAGUGUCUGCAGUUUCUG